rnacentral:lncRNA from 1 species
CUAGUCUCCCUGCUAGAAACAGGAUGUCCUUCAUGCCUUAUCCCAGAGUUUCCUGGGACCCUGGUAUAUAAGACCCAGGAUUGCUGUUUUCUAGAGUCCUCCAGGGUCAGUGCAAGGGGGACACAUGCAGAUAAAAUUCCGUCUAACCCAGGCAGCUUUUCUGAGCCUCAGGGAACCAGCUCACAGUGAAUCCCAAGUUUCUGUUACUCCUUGCCGCCCAUCUAUAAACUGACUUCAUGGAUGUUCGGAUGUGUGUGCGGAUGUUCUGACUCAUUGGACUCGGACAAGUUGUUUUACUUGAGUCCAACAUUCCAACACAAGGAAGGCAAGUUUUUCCUGCUUCCAUGAUGAUGGAAGGAAUCAAACUUGACUUAUGAAGCCAAUAAAGCCCUUGGAAAAGCUGGCCUUAUGUUUUGUGUACACAAUCCCUGUACGGGGUUCCUGACCUGUGGUCCCCGGGCGGUGCUGUGCAGGUGCAUGAUAAGGAGCGUGAUCUGAUGUCUGAUUCACACCAGGGUGUGGGAAUCUCAGAGGCAGAGAGCCCUGGAGAUGAAAGGGACAGAGACCUGGAUUCAGAUCUCAUUUUACAAUGAAGACCCCAAUGCAGAAAGUCAUGUCUGAAAUUCUGAGCUUACUCUUCUGCCUGCUGGGACCUGCUCUGGAUGAGAGAAGGGAGGAAAAGGACUAAUCAGAGGAGCCAAUGAAGUCACUCCAUGAGUUUCCUGAACCCUGCCCAGCUAGAGAUUAACGUCUGACCAUCAACAUAGGACACUGUGCAGAUGGCUACUUGCUGGCGCACAUGAAGACCAAAGCCAGGACACAAGCCCCAGCCCUGCUAAACACGGCAGAGACUCUGCCCCAGCCCACCUCCUGUGAGAAUCUGCUUCACUCCACAGCUGACCCCAGCAUCUUCAUGUGAGGACCAUGAAUGGACAUAGUUUCCAGGAUUUUUUGUGACCCAGGAAACCCGAACUCUCAUCAAAAAUGAAUAAAUAAAAGGAGGGAUGGGUAAGAAAAUGCUAAAAAUCUCCUUUUUGAAUCAUUAACAUUCACUUGAAAUUUGUCUCCACUAUUUCCUACUACCCUAGCAAACUCCAACCUGAAUAGCAUGGGUGAUGGCACUAAGCCCUAUAAUAGAAAAAGUGCCCUUAAGCUCUGUAUUAGUCCGUUCUCUCACUGCUAAUAAAGAUACACC